CACAAAAACAUCAUUGCGGAAGUUGAAACAGCGAUCAAAGAUCUACCAGACGAAACUAAAGACAUUAUACGGACAAAUACAGCUUCCAUCUUAGACCGAGCACGCAUCCCUCCGCACAAAAACAUAAACAUCAACGAAAGAAAAGCGCUGAAAGAUUUGAAACAGGACACGACAAGAAUUAUCAUGAAAGCAGACAAAGGUAACAGUUUAGUUAUCAUGGAUCGAGACGA